GAUGAACGCUGGCGGCGUGCCUAAUACAUGCAAGUCGAGCGAACAGACGAGGAGCUUGCUCCUUUGACGUUAGCGGCGGACGGGUGAGUAACACGUGGAUAACCUACCUAUAAGACUGGGAUAACUUCGGGAAACCGGAGCUAAUACCGGAUAACAUGUUGAACCGCAUGGUUCAACAGUGAAAGACGGUCUUGCUGUCACUUAUAGAUGGAUCCGCGCCGCAUUAGCUAGUUGGUAAGGUAACGGCUUACCAAGGCAACGAUGCGUAGCCGACCUGAGAGGGUGAUCGGCCACACUGGAACUGAGACACGGUUCAGACUCCUACGGGAGGCAGCAGUAGGGAAUCUUCCGCAAUGGGCGAAAGCCUGACGGAGCAACGCCGCGUGAGUGAAGAAGGUCUUCGGAUCGUAAAACUCUGUUAUUAGGGAAGAACAAAUGUGUAAGUAACUAUGCACGUCUUGACGGUACCUAAUCAGAAAGCCACGGCUAACUACGUG
rnacentral:rRNA from 1 species